UGGGGAAUAUUGGACAAUGGGCGCAAGCCUGAUCCAGCAAUGCCGCGUGGGUGAAGAAGGUCUUCGGAUUGUAAAGCCCUUUCGGCGGGGACGAUGAUGACGGUACCCGCAGAAGAAGCCCCGGCUAACUUCGUGCCAGCAGCCGCGGUAAUACGGAGGGGGCUAGCGUUGCUCGGAGUGACUGGGCGUAAAGGGCGCGUAGGCGGCUGUUACAGUCAGACGUGAAAUUCCUGGGCUCAACCUGGGGGCUGCGUUUGAUACGUGAUGGCUAGAGUGCGGAAGAGGGUCGUGGAAUUCCCAGUGUAGAGGUGAAAUUCGUAGAUAUUGGGAAGAACACCGGUGGCGAAGGCGGCGACCUGGUCCGUGACUGACGCUGAGGCGCGAAAGCGUGGGGAGCAAA
rnacentral:rRNA from 1 species